rnacentral:lncRNA from 1 species
AGAUGAAAUAUCAGGAGGAAAGGGAAGGGUGAGUACUGACUCUAUAUCAUUUUCAAUUCCUGUUGAAUAAGGGUUCAAAUUGUAAAUUAAAGCCUACUCUUCCUUUCCCUCCCUCCCUCCCUUCUUUCCUCUCUCCCUCCCUUGCUUCUUCUCUCCCUUCCUUCUUUCUUUCUUUCUUUCUUUCUUUCUUUCUUUCUUUCUUUCUUUCUUUCUUUCUUUCUUUCUUUCUUUUUCUUUCUUUUUCUUUCUUUCUUUCUCUUUUUUUUUCUUUUUUGAGAUAGAGUCUUGCCCUGUCACCCAGGCUGGAGUGCGAUGGCAUGAUCUCAGCUCACAGCAACCUCCACCUCCCAGGUUCAAGCAAUUCCCUGCCUCAGCCUCCCGAGUAGCUGGGACUACAGGUGCACGCCACCACAUCUGGCUAAUUUUUUGUAUUUUAGUAGAGAUGGGGUUUCACCAUGUUGGCCAGGAUGAUCUCCAUCUCCUGACCUCGUGAUCCACCCGCCUAGGCCUCCCAAAGUGCUGGGAUUACAGGCAUGAGUCACCACACCCAGCCUCUCUUUCUUUCUUUUGUUCACAAAGUCAACAGUGGCUGAGUGCCCAUGUGUUUCACGGUGCUUGUCUAGUAUAUUUUUAAAAGGUGGCACCAGGGCGCUUCUGCUAAAAUGGGUCUGUUGUUCAUGGAGGAGCUGGGAGUAAUGGCUCUGGAAGUGUGGGGAGACCAACAGCUGACAGGGAUCAGCCCUUUCAGUCCAAGUGGGACACUGCUGCCUACAUUAUCUUCCUCACCUUCGUCAGCACCCUGUUGUUCUUGCUGUUGCUCAUUAUCAUCCACUGUUGCUGCAGCUGCUGCUGCAACUCCCAGAAAGUGAGCCCCCAGAACAAAAAAUUCCAGUAGGGUAGGUAACUUGGCCCUUGUACCUUAACACCAUGAGUCCCUGCCAGCCCCUUCCUGUAUGUCUUGCCUUGUAGCAAGUAACAAUCCCAUGCCUUGUGUUUACCUAGAAAAAUUAAUUAAAUUAAUGGUGAGUCACAUAUUUAGAAAAUAAGAGUUUUUGCAGACCUGCGUUUGUAGAUUGAGAUCCAUUCCUGUCAUUAAGACUGAUCUUGCCAUUGUAAAUAGAGAUAUACAAAACUACAAAGAGAUUUGUGGAAUCCCAACUGGAUUCUAUUUAAAUAUCAAUAAGAGCUGAGCCUGGCCUGCUCAGAAGAAUAAGAAGAUAAUUUAGAAUAAAAUAAAGCCAUUGAAAGAGUAAAUCAAUCCAAUCUCAAAGUGAAAGAACCUAGGAGAGGGGUUACAGACCCAGAUUUCACUAGAAUUAGGGACGUGAACAUGGGACCCUUUCUGGCUAUGAAAUUCCUGUAACUAGGCCUCGUAACUGGGCCUCAGUAUGUUGGGAGAACACAAAACCCUGAGUCCCAGCCAAAUCCAGAGUCAAUUUGUAUCCUCAGUGACCUCCUCCUGAAAAAUAAGACCAAAUGUUUGGUGUGGUAUAACUGUCUGCUUCAUCUGCCC